AGAGUUUGAUCCUGGCUCAGGAUGAACCUUUACGACAGGCUUAACACAUGCAAGUCGAGGGGCAGCGGGGGUGCAGGCUUGCCUGCACCUGCCGGCGACCGGCGCACGGGUGAGUAACACGUAUGGAACCUGCCCGCCACAGGGGGAUAACCCGGGGAAACCCGGCCUAAUACCCCAUGCCGCCCGGACCGGGCAUCCGGACCGGGCGAAAGGAGGAAUCCGGUGGCGGCUGGGCAUGCGGCGCAUUAGCUUGACGGCGGGGUAACGGCCCACCGUGGCGACGAUGCGUAGGGGUUCUGAGAGGAAGGCCCCCCACACUGGAACUGAGACACGGUCCAGACUCCUACGGGAGGCAGCAGUGAGGAAUAUUGGUCAAUGGGCGGAAGCCUGAACCAGCCAAGUCGCGUGAGGGAAUAAGGCCCUACGGGUCGUAAACCUCUUUUGCCGGGGAGCAAGGGCGGGGACGUGUCCCGGCCCGGAGAGUACCCGGAGAAAAAGCAUCGGCUAACUCCGUGCCAGCAGCCGCGGUAAUACGGAGGAUGCGAGCGUUAUCCGGAUUUAUUGGGUUUAAAGGGUGCGUAGGCGGGCUUUUAAGUCAGCGGUAAAAAUUCGGGGCUCAACCCCGUCCGGCCGUUGAAACUGGGGGCCUUGAGUGGGCGAGAAGAAGGCGGAAUGCGUGGUGUAGCGGUGAAAUGCAUAGAUAUCACGCAGAACCCCGAUUGCGAAGGCAGCCUUCCGGCGCCCUACUGACGCUGAGGCACGAAAGUGCGGGGAUCGAACAGGAUUAGAUACCCUGGUAGUCCGCACAGUAAACGAUGGAUGCCAGCUGUCCGGGCCGAAUGGGGCCUGGGUGGCAAAGCGAAAGCGUUAAGCAUCCCACCUGGGGAGUACGCCGGCAACGGUGAAACUCAAAGGAAUUGACGGGGGCCCGCACAAGCGGAGGAACAUGUGGUUUAAUUCGAUGAUACGCGAGGAACCUUACCCGGGCUCAAACGCGUCAGGGAUCCCCUCUGAAAGGAGGGGAGUCAGCAAUGACCUGGCGCGAGGUGCUGCAUGGUUGUCGUCAGCUCGUGCCGUGAGGUGUCGGCUUAAGUGCCAUAACGAGCGCAACCCCUACCGACAGUUGCUAACUGGUGAAGCAGAGGACUCUGUCGGGACUGCCGGCGCAAGCUGCGAGGAAGGCGGGGAUGACGUCAAAUCAGCACGGCCCUUACGUCCGGGGCGACACACGUGUUACAAUGGCAGGUACAGCGGGAAGCCACCGGGCGACCGGGCGCGGAACCCGAAAACCUGUCUCAGUUCGGAUCGGAGUCUACAACCCGACUCCGUGAAGCUGGAUUCGCUAGUAAUCGCGCAUCAGCCACGGCGCGGUGAAUACGUUCCCGGGCCUUGCACACACCGCCCGUCA
rnacentral:rRNA from 1 species